rnacentral:rRNA from 1 species
UACAGAGGCCUCAAGCGUUGUUCGGAUUCAUUGGGCGUAAAGGGUGCGUAGGUGGCAUGGUAAGUCGGAUGUGAAAUCCCGGGGCUCAACCCCGGAACUGCAUUCGAUACUGCUGCGCUAGAGUACUGGAGAGGAGAUUGGAAUUUACGGUGUAGCAGUGAAAUGCGUAGAUAUCGUAAGGAAGACCAGUGGCGAAGGCGGAUCUCUGGACAGUUACUGACACUGAGGCACGAAGGCCAGGGGAGCAAACGGG